CUCAGUUACCAAGUGGUUUAGGGCUUUCCUGAUAGCUCAGUUGGUAAAGAAUCCGCCUGCAAUGCAGGAGACCCCAGUUUGAUUUCUGGGUCAGGAAGAUCCACUGGAGAAUGUAUAGACUACUCACUCCAGUAUUCUUGGGCUUCCCUAGUGGCUCAGUUGGUAAAGAAUCUGCCCUCAAUGUGGGAUACCUGGGUUCAAUCCCUGGGUUGGGAAGAUCUCCUGGAGAAGGGAAAGGCUACCCACUCCAGUAUUCUGGCCUGGAGAAUUCCAUGGGGUUGCAAAGAGUUGGACAUGACUGAGCAAAUUUCACUUUGAGGUCUUUUGUUUUUCUCUUGUUACUUGGGUUUCUUUUUCAUAAAUCACCACUUCUCUCUCUGGGUAGUGGUUUUCACUUUCCACUUUGUGACAUUCUUUCCAUCAUUUGAGUCUUUCAUGACCUGUGAAACAUACAGGCAGUUGUUAUCAUCCCCUUUCCACAAGGAGUGUGAAAGUCAGGUAGAUCCAGGUUCAAACCCCAGCUCGGUCACUCGCCACCUGUGUCAGCUUGGGCAGGUUACCUAACCUCUCUUGAGCCUUGCUUGCCGCAACUUGAAAUAAAAAUGUCUGUAAUAUCUUUUCUCGGUAGGCUGUGGUGGGGAUUGAGUCGAAUGCAUUUCCCAAAUGUCCUUGAUGCUGAGAAUCCUCAGGGCACUUGUUAAAACACAGAUUCCUGGGCCCUGGUCCAGAGCUCCUGGACCAGAAUUCCCAGGGGUGACACCUGGCAGUCUGUCAAGCCCUGAGGAUCCUUUCUAGGGAAAUUUGGGAAACACCAGGCUGAUUGGCACAGAGCAGCUAAUAUUUAUCAAGUACUUAUAGGUGUUCAGUCUUUGAAAUGGGGAUAACGAUGACCAUCAGGAUUAUUCUGAGAAACGAGCAAAAUAAGGUACAAAGUCCAGCAAACAAUAAGUUCUAUGUGUGCCGGUAUGUCGGUAUCUUCACUUGUCUGAAUUCAUCAGGACUCUCUCAGGCCAAAAUGGACACAUCUAGAGUCUCUCUCCAAGAGAUGUCCCUCCAUCCUCCCAGCCCAGUACCCCUGGUAGCAGGCUUCUCAAUUUUCCAGAUCCCAAGGACCAAGCCUCAUUUAACCAAUUUGGUUUCUAGGCUCUCCUCGGACCAGUCACUAUGGUCAAAGUUUGGAAUAUGCUGACUGACCAGGACAGGGUCGCUUGCGCAUCCCAGGAAUCACAGAAGUGAGGGUCAGCCCCAUCUGAACUUCAGGAAUGGGAGUGGCCCGUAUCCGUGUGAGUCCUUUUCUUGGUCCCUUAACCAAUAGCAGCUGAUGUUUGGUGGGCAACUCCAUGAUGUCCCCUGCAUCAGCCUCAACAAUCAGACCGUUAGCAGUCCACAGAAGCCCUGUCAGGUUUGAAUCUGUCUCUGGUCUUUCCUUUUGCUGGCAUAUUUGUGGCUACCUUGAGGGCCUCAGUCAGGCAGAUGAAGCCUCAGACCUGCCCUCAUCUGUCUCACCAUCUCCAGUCCUUGGCCCCGCUCACCCCUGGUCCAGCCGGCCACAGGGGCCUGUUCAAGGGCUGGUCCCGGGACUCAGGGCUGCCAUUGUCCAAAGCUGCUUAUUAGGGACCCACUGUGGGAAUCUUUCCAACCAAGAACAAUGAGUUUCUGAAUGAGGAUAAAAACAGCCUUUGCAAGUCAGCAAAUGAGACAAACUGAACUGCUUAUCCCCUCUUCCCUCAUCUGCCUGGCUCUUUCGAUGUAGUACAUGAGAACAAGGUCUCUUGUAUCAGAAAGACAAGUUUGAGGCUAGCUGUUUCACCUCUCUAAGCCUUGGUUUUGUCUGAAAUCUGUAUGAGGAUUGAGGGAGGCAGUAGAUACAGCACAUUACACAAAGAAGGAACUCAUGAUCAAGAAUCAUCACAUUGCUCUCUCCAUCAAGAAAUUCACACCCUUUUCUAGGAUGAUCAACCUCUCAGACACUACCAGGAAGGCAAACCCACUGUGAAUAUUGAAACACACAGGUGAACUCCAAAGUCACAGAAAACAGAUGUGUCAUGCACUCACUACAUCCUGUCCCCCCAAGACUUGGCUGUGUUCUGGAAGACAUUACACCAUGUACAUCCUAGAUCUCAUGACAGCUGGCUUCCCUGCAACCACAGGAUGUAGCUGUGAGAGACAUGGCUCUUCAGAAGCCCAGGAAUGGGAGUUUGGGCUCUGCCACUAUCUUGCAGGAUGACCUUGGGCACAUCACUUACCUUUCCUGGGUUGGUUUCUUCUUUCAUCAAAUCAGAGGGUUGGUUGAGGACUAGGUGAUUUCUAACGGCCCUUCUGUCUCAAGGGUCCAUCCUGUGGCAUUUGCUAGACCUGGUGGGGAAACCUGGCACCAAGGGUGAGGAGUGGUAACUGUGUGGGUAACUCCCACACAGCUGGUUGCAGCUUGGGGAGGAGGCUGGAGGUACUCUGGUGUGUGUGUGCAUGCUAAGUUGGGUCCAACUCUUUAUGAAUCCCUGGACUGUAGCCAGCCAGGGUCUUCUGUCCACAGCUGGGAAAGUAUAUCAUUUCCUCCUUCAGGGGAAAGUUGCCAUUUCCUCCUUCAAGGAAAUAAAUUUCCGUUUCUUCCUGACCCAGGGAUCUUCUGCACUGGCAGGAUUCUUUACCACUGAGCCACCUGCUAAGAGGGAUUCCCUUGUAGCUCAGUCAUAAAGAAUGCCUGCAAUGCAGGAGACUGGGGUUCGAUUUCUGGGUGGGAAAGAUCCUCUGGCAAAGGAAAUGGCAACCCACUCCAGUAUUCUUGCCUGGAGAAUUCCAAGGACAUAGGAGACUGGAGGGCUAUAGUCCAUGGGGGUCGUGAUAGUCGGACACGACUUAGCGACUAAACCACCACCACCUGCUAAGAGGGCUGGGGCUGGAACCACAGAUCCCUGGUUUAUUCUUGAUGCUGCUUUUAUCUGACUGCAUGACCUUGGGCCUGUCACUCUCUGAGCCACCCGUAUAACAAGGAUUAUGGCACCUAUCUAAGAUGGCUGUGAGGAUUCAAUCAGGUCAAUGAGAUGCAAUACCAGGUAUCCAGCAAGAGCUCAAUGAGGAGCUUAGCUUACUGCUUCCCUCCCUCUGGUUGAGCUUCCUCUUCUACUUGCCAUACAUGACUAAGUUUGGUGAAAUGGAAAUAGCCCAAAGAGACCUAGGUUUCACCCUGCCUCCUGUUCUUCAUACCUCCAAGUCACUGGACCUGUUUUCCUCAUUAGUAAAAUGGGCACAGUGAGACCUUAUCUCAAGGGCUGAUGUGACUGCUUAAUGACUGACAGACAGGUUUUUCCUCCCUGGAUCUCAUCGGCAUCAACCCACCCACCAUCAUUCUACAAUUUAUUUCCAAUCUAUGUGAUUAACUGAUUGUUAAAAGCCCUCAUAGGAGUCAGUAUCAGAAAACCUGAGACCAGCGUCUCUGCAUUUCACUCCACUCCCACGUUCCUUUCCCAGCUCUGUGAGGCAGGGCACACCUGGCCAUUCUCACAGUCCUGAUGCCAGGCACAGCACCGGGCCUCUGGGGGCCACCUCCCCAACCUACACCUGGAGCCAGAAAACGUCCAUCUGCUCCAAAGAAGGGGGCAGGAGGUAUCUGGGCACCACCCAGAGGCAGGGUGGGUCAGUGUCUCCUGAGAAGCACCUUUCUGCUGGAAUCACAUAGGAUCUAGGGCUUGCUGUGAGGUUCAAGCUCUUAUGGCUGAGAAUGAAUUUCUGUGUAUAUGUAUCAACUACCACAGUAUGUGGGAUGAUCUUUUUGGAAAACACAGAACCUUGCACAUGAGACUUAUAAACGUCUAUUUUUGGUACAAUGACUCCUAAGCAUUUGGACUAUCAAAUCCAUAAAGAGUGUAACGCAAUGUCUAGUGGUUAAGUUGAAAAUAACCUGAGUAUCUUACCAUUUGGUUAGAAUUAAGUAAAUUAAUAGACUACUACAUAGCCAUUUCAGGUAUAUGCUUUUAAAGCCUCUUUAGAGGAGAAACUAUCAUACUUAACGCUAAAUGAAAAGGUACAGAUUUGUUUUGUACAUUCCUUUGGUUUUCCUGUAUUCUUUUUACGGUCUGAACAACAAAACAAUAAAAUAUACUAAAAAUAAAGGUCCCAAGGCCAGCUUUUUGGUGUUUAAUAAACCUUUUAUGUCUUUUAUCUGACUGCAUGACCUUGGGCCUGUCACCUCUGAGCCACCCGUAUAACAAGGAUUAUGGCACCUAUCUAAGAUGGCUGUGAGGAUUCAAUCAGGUCAAUGAGAUGCAAUACCAGGUAUCCAGCAAGAGCUCAAUGAGGAGCUUAGCUUACUGCUUCCCUCCCUCUGGUUGAGCUUCCUCUUCUACUUGCCAUACAUGACUAAGUUUGGUGAAAUGGAAAUAGCCCAAAGAGACCUAGGUUUCACCCUGCCUCCUGUUCUUCAUACCUCCAAGUCACUGGACCUGUUUUCCUCAUUAGUAAAAUGGGCACAGUGAGACCUUAUCUCAAGGGCUGAUGUGACUGCUUAAUGACUGACAGACAGGUUUUUCCUCCCUGGAUCUCAUCGGCAUCAACCCACCCACCAUCAUUCUACAAUUUAUUUCCAAUCUAUGUGAUUAACUGAUUGUUAAAAGCCCUCAUAGGAGUCAGUAUCAGAAAACCUGAGACCAGCGUCUCUGCAUUUCACUCCACUCCCACGCCUUUCCCAGCUCUGAGGCAGGGCACACCUGGCCAUUCUCACAGUCCUGAUGCCAGGCACAGCACCGGGCCUCUGGGGGCCACCUCCCCAACCUACACCUGGAGCCAGAAAACGUCCAUCUGCUCCAAAGAAGGGGGCAGGAGGUAUCUGGGCACCACCCAGAGGCAGGGUGGGUCAGUGUCUCCUGAGAAGCACCUUUCUGCUGGAAUCACAUAGGAUCUAGGGCUUGCUGUGAGGUUCAAGCUCUUAUGGCUGAGAAUGAAUUUCUGUGUAUAUGUAUCAAC
rnacentral:lncRNA from 1 species